CUUGUACUCCCUCCUUCCGAAAAUACUUGCCAUCAAAAUGGAUAAAAAGAGAUGUAUCUAGAACUAAUAUAUGUCUAGAUACAUCCCCUUUUGUUCAUGUAUUUCCGGACGGAGGGAGUACAAG
rfam:Triticum aestivum genome assembly, contig: Triticum_aestivum_CS42_TGACv1_scaffold_222137_3B